rnacentral:lncRNA from 1 species
CCGUAAUGUAACUUUUCAUUUCAUCUGCAAGCAGUCCUCAAUAGUUUUAUUUUGAUUCUCUUGGGGUGAUUCUAUCAAUAGCUUAUCUACCGAUAUAUAAAUGGUUUUUUCGAGCCCUUGAGUAUGCUUAGUUUUAUUUUCAUUAGUUCAUGGGCAACAAACGAAGGAUACAAUUUACUUGCCCAUGAAAUAAAUGAGAAUAAAGCGAAGAAUGCUAAGGAGCUCUAGAUAACCGUUUGUAUAUUGGUAGGUUAUCGAUAAAUCGUCUUGAGAUCAUCCACACACACUUACGAGAGUGAUAGAAGUUCACUUGUAAGGUGAUCUUAUAAAGGUUCAAAGAGCAGUUUUCAUGAUCAGCAACAACAGAGCAGUUGCCAAGGUGUUGCAAAAAAGAUAUCACAUUUUGUAAUUUUUGUUGAGAUGUAUAUGUGCAACUAUCAAGACCUUGAUACUCUAGAGGAUGAGGUCAUUGUCAUAGAGUACGAGAGCAUGCACCUUAUUCUUUAAUGGAGUUGAAGGACCAUGGCCUGACCUGACCCAACCCAACGCACAUUUAACCUGACUUUUUUCUGAAGACGACGUGAAGUCAUUGAUCGAAUGGAGUAUGUUCUAACCACUUCGAAUGGAGCAGGUCGCGAUGGGAAGUGAGAAUGAUGAUUGCGGCUGUAUUUUGGGGAUUUUAGGCGUCGCUGAUUAAGUACUUCGCUGAAUUGGGAUGGAGUCGGAUGAUGAAUGGUUGAUGGUUGUUGCAGCCUGCAGAC